rnacentral:rRNA from 1 species
GCUCAGGACGAACGCUGGCGGCGUGCUUAACACAUGCAAGUCGAGCGGUAAGGCCUUUCAGGGUACACUAGCGGCGAACGGGUGAGUAACACGUGGGUGAUCUGCCCUGCACUCUGGGAUAAGCUUGGGAAACUGGGUCUAAUACCGGAUAUGACCACAGCAUGCAUGUGUUGUGGUGGAAAGAUUUAUCGGUGCAGGAUGGGCCCGCGGCCUAUCAGCUUGUUGGUGGGGUAAUGGCUCACCAAGGCUUCGACGGGUAGCCGGCCUGAGAGGGUGACCGGCCACACUGGGACUGAGACACGGCCCAGGCUCCUACGGGAGGCAGCAGUGGGGAAUAUUGGACAAUGGGCGAAAGCCUGAUCCAGCAACGCCGCGUGAGGGAUGACGGCCUUCGGGUUGUAAACCUCUUUCAGCGGGGACGAAGCGAAAGUGACGGUACCCGCAGAAGAAGGACCGGCCAACUACGUGCCAGCAGCCGCGGUAAUACGUAGGGUCCGAGCGUUGUCCGGAAUUAUUGGGCGUAAAGGGCUCGUAGGCGGUUUGUCGCGUCGGGAGUGAAAACACGGGGCUUAACCCCGUGCCUGCUUCCGAUACGGGCAGACUAGAGGUAUGCAGGGGAGAACGGAAUUCCUGGUGUAGCGGUGAAAUGCGCAGAUAUCAGGAGGAACACCGGUGGCGAAGGCGGUUCUCUGGGCAUUACCUGACGCUGAGGAGCGAAAGUGUGGGGAGCGAACAGGAUUAGAUACCCUGGUAGUCCACACCGUAAACGUUGGGCGCUAGGUGUGGGGCUCAUUCCACGAGUUCCGUGCCGCAGCUAACGCAUUAAGCGCCCCGCCUGGGGAGUACGGCCGCAAGGCUAAAACUCAAAUGAAUUGACGG